rnacentral:rRNA from 1 species
UUGAAAAAAUUAUUUAAAAUUAGAAAUUACAUUUUACUUUAAAUAAAAUAAUAUCAUUUUUAUUAAAUUUUUAGAAAAAUUUAUUUUUAUUAUAGUUUAAUAUUACUGUAAAGGAAUUAUCUAAAAUUUUGUAAAGAAAAUUAAUAUUGUACCUUGUGUAUCAGGGUUUAUUUAAAAAUAUUUAAUUAUUUUAAUAAUCUCGAAUUUGAAAGAUUUAAUUGUUUAUGUAUUUUAUUGUUAAAUAAAUAUUUUAAAUAAAUAAUUAGUAAUGAAAAGUUAGUCGUUUUUAAAUAUAUCUAGUUUUUUAAGAAAAAAAUUAAAUUUUUUUAAAUUUUUUAAAAUUUAUAAUUUUUUAUGAAUUUUAAAUUUUUAAAUAAUAUGUUAAGGGAUAAGCUUUAAUAUAGAUCAUUAAAAUUAAAUUUUAUGUUUAAGUUUUAUAGGAUUAAAAAUUUCUUUUUUUAAGUUUUUAAUAAUUUAAUUUAAUGGAAUUAAAAUUUUUAUUUAGUUUAGUUAUUUUAUUAAAAUAUAUUAUUUAUUUUUUUAUUAAUAUAAAUAAUGAUAAAAUUAGUAUAAUUUUUUGUAUAUUUAUAUUUAAUAUAAAUAUAAAUUAUAAGAAUUCGGCAAAUUAGUUUUUCAAAUGUUUAAUAAAAACAUUUCUUUUUGAUAAUAAUUUAAAGUAGAACCUGCCCACUGAUAAUUUUGAAGGGCCGCAGUAUUUUGACUGUGCAAAGGUAGCAUAAUCAUUAGUUUUUUAAUUGAAAGCUGGAAUGAAUGGUUUAAUGAAAAAAUAACUUUUUUUAAUUUAAUAUAUAUAAUUUUAUUUUUAAGUUAAAAAGCUUAAAUGUAUCUAUAAGACGAGAAGACCCUAUAGAGUUUAAUUAUUUUUUUUUUAAAUAAUAAUAGAAUUAAUUAGUUUUAUAAAGAUAAUAAUUUAAUUGGGGUGAUUGCAAAAUUAAUUUAACUUUUAUUAAAUUUUUACAUUAAUUUAUGAUUAUUUGAUCCAAUUAAUUGAUUAAAAGAUUAAAUUACCUUAGGGAUAACAGCGUAAUUUUUUUUAAAAGAUCUUAUUGAAAAAAAAGAUUGCGACCUCGAUGUUGGAUUAAAAUAUAUUAUUGGUGUAGAAGCUAAUAAAUUAGGUCUGUUCGACCUUUAAAAUUUUACAUGAUCUGAGUUUAGACCGGUGUAAGCCAGGUCGGUUUCUAUCUUUAGGAAAUUUUAAUAUUUUAGUACGAAAGGACCAAAUAUUU